GCUAUAAAUAGUUUAACAAAAACAAAGGUUUUGUAAACCUUAAAUGAUUAAUUCUUUUAGCU
rnacentral:tRNA from 1 species